rnacentral:rRNA from 1 species
UGCAAGUCGAGCGGUAGCACAGAGAGCUUGCUCUCGGGUGACGAGCGGCGGACGGGUGAGUAAUGUCUGGGAAACUGCCUGAUGGAGGGGGAUAACUACUGGAAACGGUAGCUAAUACCGCAUAACGUCGCAAGACCAAAGUGGGGGACCUUCGGGCCUCAUGCCAUCAGAUGUGCCCAGAUGGGAUUAGCUAGUAGGUGGGGUAACGGCUCACCUAGGCGACGAUCCCUAGCUGGUCUGAGAGGAUGACCAGCCACACUGGAACUGAGACACGGUCCAGACUCCUACGGGAGGCAGCAGUGGGGAAUAUUGCACAAUGGGCGCAAGCCUGAUGCAGCCAUGCCGCGUGUGUGAAGAAGGCCUUCGGGUUGUAAAGCACUUUCAGCGGGGAGGAAGGCGUUAAGGUUAAUAACCUUGUCGAUUGACGUUACCCGCAGAAGAAGCACCGGCUAACUCCGUGCCAGCAGCCGCGGUAAUACGGAGGGUGCAAGCGUUAAUCGGAAUUACUGGGCGUAAAGCGCACGCAGGCGGUCUGUCAAGUCGGAUGUGAAAUCCCCGGGCUCAACCUGGGAACUGCAUUCGAAACUGGCAGGCUAGAGUCUUGUAGAGGGGGGUAGAAUUCCAGGUGUAGCGGUGAAAUGCGUAGAGAUCUGGAGGAAUACCGGUGGCGAAGGCGGCCCCCUGGACAAAGACUGACGCUCAGGUGCGAAAGCGUGGGGAGCAAACAGGAUUAGAUACCCUGGUAGUCCACGCCGUAAACGAUGUCGAUUUGGAGGUUGUGCCCUUGAGGCGUGGCUUCCGGAGCUAACGCGUUAAAUCGACCGCCUGGGGAGUACGGCCGCAAGGUUAAAACUCAAAUGAAUUGACGGGGGCCCGCACAAGCGGUGGAGCAUGUGGUUUAAUUCGAUGCAACGCGAAGAACCUUACCUGGUCUUGACAUCCACAGAACUUUCCAGAGAUGGAUUGGUGCCUUCGGGAACUGUGAGACAGGUGCUGCAUGGCUGUCGUCAGCUCGUGUUGUGAAAUGUUGGGUUAAGUCCCGCAACGAGCGCAACCCUUAUCCUUUGUUGCCAGCGGUCCGGCCGGGAACUCAAAGGAGACUGCCAGUGAUAAACUGGAGGAAGGUGGGGAUGACGUCAAGUCAUCAUGGCCCUUACGACCAGGGCUACACACGUGCUACAAUGGCAUAUACAAAGAGAAGCGACCUCGCGAGAGCAAGCGGACCUCAUAAAGUAUGUCGUAGUCCGGAUUGGAGUCUGCAACUCGACUCCAUGAAGUCGGAAUCGCUAGUAAUCGUAGAUCAGAAUGCUACGGUGAAUACGUUCCCGGGCCUUGUACACACCGCCCGUCACACCAUGGGAGUGGGUUGCAAAAGAAGUAGGUAGCUUAACCUUCGGGAGGGCGC